rnacentral:tRNA from 1 species
GGCUGGAUAGCUCAGGUGGUAGAGCACCGGUGUGGUAUACCGGAGGUCGCAGGUUCAAACCCCGCUCCAGUCA